rnacentral:lncRNA from 1 species
ACAGGCGGGUUGUUAAUCCGACCAUCGGCUCUAGGGGCGAACAGCCGAAUCUGCUCCGGGAUGCAGUACUGCUCCCGGAGCCGAUCGACGUUCGGCCCCGAAAAUGAAGAAACCUCCAUCUCUGGGGUCGACCGAGAAUUGUCAGUCAGGUUCUCCGACCGACUUCCUCGUGGGGAGGUUCUGGCCAUGAUGCUAGAACCGAGGUCAAAGGA